CAGCAGCCACGGGAAUACAGAGGGUGCGAGCGUUAAUCGGAUUUACUGGGCGUAAAGCGUGCGUAGGCGGCUUCUUAAGUCGGAUGUGAAAUCCCUGAGCUUAACUUAGGAAUUGCAUUCGAUACUGGGAAGCUAGAGUAUGGGAGAGGAUGGUAGAAUUCCAGGUGUAGCGGUGAAAUGCGUAGAGAUCUGGAGGAAUACCGAUGGCGAAGGCAGCCAUCUGGCCUAAUACUGACGCUGAGGUACGAAAGCAUGGGGAGCAAUCAGGAUUAGAGACCCCCGUAGUCCCUGUCUCUUAUAA
rnacentral:rRNA from 1 species